rnacentral:rRNA from 1 species
UACGUAGGAUCCAAGCGUUGUCCGGAUUUACUGGGUGUAAAGGGUGCGCAGGCGGACUUAUAAGUCAGUGGUGAAAUCUCACAGCUUAACUGUGAAACUGCCUUUGAUACUGUAGGUCUUGAAUUAGGGAGAGAUUCGUGGAAUUCCGAGUGUAGCAGUGAAAUGUGUAGAUAUUGGGAAGAACACCGGUGGCGAAGGCGGCUCUCUGGACCGAUACUGACGCUGAGGCGCGAAAGCGUGGGGAGCAAACAGG